ACUUUAUACUGUUACCAGUUACCAAACAUAUAUUUUCAGUUGAUGAGUAUGCAACUCUGAAAACAAAGUAAGCAAUAGUUAGAGUUAAUACUUGAUAAGUAUUUAUUUAUUUUUUUUCUUUUUGCAGGUUUAAUUUGAUGGAUUAGCCCACCUUAUUCCUUUCCCUCUAUAUAAUUUUUUUAAGGUGUAUAACAGAUGGAAAAUAUUAUAUAUAUAUAUAUAUAUAUCAAUUGAUAACAGGUGUUUGCUACAGUAACCGAGGGUAUUUCCAUAAUUUUGAUGUUCAUACAAUUCCAUUAACCACGCAUUUCUCAUCGACACGCUCCUUCUCUCGCUACCCUCCACAGCAGGUUAUGCACAGCACCACCGACCAGAUUAGGGUAUCGAUGUUCUGAUGUACCUGUUUCUUAGUUGUUUCAACCUUAGGUGUAUUUUAUAUACUUCAAUUUUGUUCACAGAAUCUAAAUAUAAGCCAUCGCUUUAGUAAAAUUGUAGACCUAAAGAUAUUUUUCGCUUCAUUUGUUUUAAAAUCCAGUGUUAUUUGUAUUUUUAUUUUUUUCAGUUUUUUUGAGUAUUUGAUAAGUUCGGUGUUCGGGAAAGGUUUGAUCGGAACGAAUGGGAGUUAUGGGUGGGGCAUCAUUGCCACAAGGGUUUCGAUUUUUGGUAAGGCUGAUGGGGAGAGGUUUUUGAUGAAAAUUCUCGCAAAGUUGCAACCGUUUCGAAAGUUUUGAAAGGAGAUCAGUUUUUGGUAAGGCUGCAUAAGUUUAAUCAUGAAAUUAGGGCCCAUAAAACGAAUACUAGGACGCGACAGGCGUGGCGUGACGGUCAAUGGGUGGCAGUUGCGAAGAUUUUAGGAAGCAAUGGGAUUGAACCGAUGAUCUGUCAAAAAGAAGAAGAUUGCUUGCUUACCUGUGGAAGAGAUCUUCCCCAUUUGGCUCAUCUCUUCUCGGAGCUAACAGAUGGCGGUCAAAGUCAAAGGUGUGUUUCGGGCCAUUGAUUUGAAAAGGUAACAAAUACAUGCAACCAUCCUUUAACAACUGUCGGAGAAAAGAAACAGGAUAAAGGAUAUCCUCGAAUCACACUUGAAGUUCACGCUCUCAGAUCUUUGAACCCACACAUGCACUCUUAGUGAAUGUCCACAAAAUGUUUCAUAUUUCGACAAAUAAUACAAUUGGGAAGCGUCAGCUGAAAGUAGCUCGUGUGUAGUUAAAGAAGAAACUGACCCAUAAAAGCAGCUUCGUCGUGCGACAUAUUACGCUUUAUUUGAAGGUAGUUACUAUGUAAAUAUUUCUAUUUUUUUAUUUAGUAAUACUGCUUUAAUUAUCUAUCAAACAGUUUAUAAA